UGGUCAUUGCCAAGGCUUUUAGAACGCAAUGCCUCAUUUGCCGUGGACAUGACCGCAGAACAUGUUCUUACAAGGUUUUCUUUCUGCUACACUGCUUGUGUUCAGCCUAUUGGGAAUAUUU